rnacentral:lncRNA from 1 species
CUUGGGACAUCGGCGCAUUCCUUCUGAUCUUAUUGUUUAGUAUUUAUCUCUGAAUCAUAUAUGCUCUUGGCAUUAUAUGACUAAUUUUUAUUUACUAUACUUGUAUAUUUAUCCUAGUAUAUCAGAGACUUUGCAAACAACAUUACAUAUUCAAAUAGGAUUUUUAUGUUGGUUAUAUUAAAAAAAAUAUUAUGGUGGCGAAAAGAGAAUCGAUGAUGACCAAAUCUUCUGUCGUCGUCCUUCCCUUCUAACAAGGAAGGGUGGGGG